AUGGGACCCCGGCGUCCUGUCGGUUCCUUCUGCAUCUGACAGGCUCCGAAACCAGGUCUCUCCACCCAGCAGCCCACAAACGCAGCAGCUCACCGGCUCCCUGGCUGCUCCCAACACACCCCACGUGCCGAGGGUGCCUGGCGUGGCCGGGGAAUCGGGAAUAUGUGUUCUGCGGACAGGCAAUCCUAAUCUAGCUAGUGGAAAGAGAAAUGAGUGGUGUGGGCCUGUGUGUGUCCGGCCCCAGGCAUCCGGAAAAGCUUCACCAACAGUGAGACCAAAAGCAAAAAUCUGAAUAUUCUUUUUCUGAGAAAGAACAUCCGAUAGGAAAAAAUGUGCUCCCAGCUGCAGGGAGCUGAGGUCAGCUGCGAAACGCCGGCUCAGCGUUCUGACCGGGAACCGCCUCGAAGUGCUGGCGUCGGACCCUGGCUGGUUGUGAUCAUGGACACACGCCGCUUCCCUGUGAGAGAAAUGACUUUUCCCAACUUAAUGUUCUCAUUCUUUAGUGCUCUGUUUUGAAAUUUAAAGCGUAGAAGACAAAGUUGCAGGGACAGAGAGGGAGCGCUUUACUAGGGAACUUACUAACUGUGCAUUUUAUCCCAUUAUCCUCGGCACACUUCCUCUCCCUCCCCCAAAAGAGUUUUCAGAACCAAAAAAAAAGUAGGCUAGCAGGGGCCACGGGAAAAACGUCCCCUUUGCUCUCCAAAGGUUCGCUGAAAAAAUCAACUCACAGAAGGCAGAGUAACUGAAGAAAAGGCUGACGGCAUAGCACGGAGACUCUCAGGAGGAUGGUUAUCCCAAAGCCCAGGGGCCCACAGCCGGCCGUGCACCUUCCUCCUAGAGGAGAGGAGAUGGGCAGUGGCGUGACCCAGCAGCACUCCCAGACUUCAGCCGUCGCGUCUUCAGUCUCCUGCAACCCAGAACACCUGACUGGCCUCCCCUGUCCCUUUGGAGCUUGGCGGUCUCUCCAGCACCCCUUAUUGGCAGUGGAAGGGGCUGCCAGUGGGCCGAGCAGCGAUGUGGUUUGUGGAGUCCCAGCCCCGGCAGCGCAGGGUGGGGUCGGAGGGUGGGUGUGGGUGAAAGGUCACACCCUGGUAACGGGCCCCCUCUCCAAACUGCACGACUCCCCUUUGUCUCCCUGAUGGCACGGGUGGCAUUUCCAGCACAGCACCGGACAGACGCGGUCAGGCAGACCCUCACCUCGCUCAGACUGAGACGGAAACUCACCCUGACAGCCACACCUUAGCCUGAUGGUCUCUAAAGAUCCCAUUCUCCUCAUGCAGUCACCUUCUGAGACGUUGGGUGAGGCUGUGAUUUGGGCAGCAGGGAGGGGCAGAUUCAGGCCGCGAGUCUGUUGAAGAUCGGUGUUCCCGGCCACCGUCAGUCUGAUUCCAGCUCUAGCUCUUCACAGGCAGCCCGCGUCACAUGGAGACGGUUCCACUGUGUUCUUAGCCUGUUUGGAGUUCUUACCUGUGAAAAGGGUGUUGCUUGUUUGUUGAAUGAUUUCUCUGCAUUUAUUGAGACGAUCGUGUUUUAUUCUUUUAUUCUGUUGCUACGUGGAUGACACCGACGGACGCUCAAACAGCAAACGGCUCUGCAGUCCGGGGCGGAAGCGCGUCUGGCGUCUGGAGUGAGUUUGUGUAAGAUUUGUAUAAUUCACCAUAAAACCGUCAGGGCAUGGAGCUUCCUUUGUGGAAGGAGUUUGGUAAUGAAUUCAGUUAUUCAAGGUAGACAUAAGCCUAUCCACAUUUUCUAUUUCAUUUCAGGCUGAUUGUGGUAAGUUGUGUUUCUCAGAAAUCUGUGUCAUCUAUGUUGUUAAACAUUGACAUAAAGUCAUUCAUAGCGUUUCAUUAUUGUCUUGUACUGUGUAAAGGAUCUAUAUUGAUAGGCAUUCUCUCAAUCUAGAUAUUGGCAAUCUAUUCUGUAUUUAAAUAACUUCUGCUACUGCUUCCAUUAUUUAUUUUGUACUUUUGGGCUUUCAUUUGCUCAUCUUUUAUGCUUCUUAUACUGGAAACUUAUAUUAUUGAUGUUAAGCCUUUUAUGGUUUCUGACCUAAGCAUUUAAAGCUAUGAAUUUCCCUCUAAGCACCCCUUUGCCUGCACUCCACAAAUUCUCACAUUCUGUGUUUUCAUGAUCAUUCGAUUCAAAAUAUUUUCUUUGAGAUUUCUUCUUUAAAACUUUUUUCGUGACUGAGUCUUGCCACAUUGCCCAAGCUGAUGGACUCCUGGGUUCAAUCAGUCCUUCCACUUCAGCCUCCUGAGUAGCUGGGGCUGAAGCCACCUCGCCUGGCUUGGCCAUUUCUUCUCUGACCCACACAUUAAUUAGAAGUGUGUUGUUUGCUGUACAAAUAGCUGAGACUUUAAAAAAUAUGUAAAGUAUGUAUAGGAGACACCGCGCCCCCUUAAUGCCAAACCCAGGGCGAAAUGUUCCUGCCUCUUUAAUAACCCUACGAGGUAGAGACUAUUAGUAUUUCAGAAAAUUGAGGCUCAGAAUCAUUAAAUUACCUUUUCAAGGUGAAACAGGUUGAAUAUGGUCCAGCCAAGUGCUGAGCCCUGC
ensembl:lncRNA